UACGUAGGGUGCGAGCGUUAAUCGGAAUUACUGGGCGUAAAGGGUGCGCAGGCGGUUAUAUAAGUUAGAUGUGAAAUCCCCGGGCUUAACCUGGGAAUGGCAUUUAAGACUGUAUGUCUAGAGUUUGUCAGAGGGGGGUAGAAUUCCAAGUGGAGUGGUGAAAUGCGUAGAGAUCUGGAAGAACACCAAAGGCGAAGGCAGCAUCCUGGGAAGUUCCUGACGCUCGGGUGCGAAAGCCAGGGGAGCGAACGGG
rnacentral:rRNA from 1 species